rnacentral:misc_RNA from 1 species
AUGCUACAAACAUCUCCCACCCAAACCCAGCGAAAGAGGAUCCAAAUCCUAACAAAUAUGGAGCCCUUGACUAACUAGGUAAGAACCGAUUUCCAUCUUCAGUAGCAGCCGGUGAGCUUCCUCCAUCACUAACAACACUCCACUGGCCUCGAUAGGGGAAAGCUUGGCAGAAACUCAAGCCAUACAGGGGAGACUAAUGAUCAACAUUAGAAAGGAGCAUAAUCACCCCAAACAAACCAAAAACCUCCCCUUCUUCCAACGCUUAUAAACCCAGAUGGGCAGGAGAUUUGUAGCAAACACCGACUUAGAACAGAGACUUGGACCAGUGCCGGAUGGACCGGGAAAAGGUUUGGCAUAUCCAGGACCUUGCAUGCGAAGCACUGACAGCAAAGGUGACUCCAUCGGUACCGAAGCUCUGCUACUGCCAACCAAACUACUCCCAUGAGUAUCAUACCCACUUCAAAGGGAGAACUCCUGCAACACUAGGAAUAACCACAGAGACCCAACUAAAGCCUCAUUCAAG